AGCUUGAGAAGAAGCUCAGAGUCCUCCUUGGUGGAUAUAAUGCAAGGGCUCAGGCACUCUCCAAGCAAUUGCAGGACACUCAUGAACAGGUGGAGCAGACUCUUGUGGAGCUAAACACUUUUAAAGAGCUCCAGGCACUAGAGAGAGUAGCCAUUAGAUCACGUGUUGAGUCACUCAAAGAUGAAGUGUACAAGAAAACUGAGAGGGAGAACACUCUACAGUCUCAGUACAUUUCACUGGUACAAGAAAGAAAUGAGCUGCUAAGAGAAGAGUCCAAAAACAGCGAGACAGUAUAACAAUGUUCAUGUUGUAAUCACUGUUAACUGAUUUUCUUUUGAUAUGUCACGUUAUGAGAAAAACACUAGUUAAUUGAUGAA